AUGAUUGACGACGGAGCAUGUUUUGAGAGAGAAUAUGUCCUCUUUGAACAUAUGGGGAUGCUCUGUCGUCAUGUUCUGAAGGUCAUGGAUAAUAUUGGGAUGAAAGAAAAUACAAAGAGACACAUAGUGAAAAGGCGGACAAAAUAUCCAAGAGAUAUUUUGCCAGAUCACUUGAAGCACUACCGGCUGGACCAGAUCAACAACACAUCCCUAACUUUUCGGCACAACCGGAUGUACAUUAGGGCGUUGGAACUGGUUCGACUUGGAGACGCAAGUGUUGAGGCAUAUCAAACUCUGAUGGGGCUUUUAGACCAGGCCAUGCCGGUGAUGGACCCUUUUGACAAAUGUCGUGACAGGCUAGGGCUUGGAAGACCGUGGAUAACAACAAUGUGGCAGAUACCGACGGGGAGUGAGCUGGGAGAAGUGUGUGAAGACGACAGAAUGUCAUGCAGCAUGAAGUUUUGGAUUAGUGGCACCAAGCAAGAACGGAAACGCUGGCAGAUCAGCAAUGCCUGA
rnacentral:rRNA from 1 species